rnacentral:misc_RNA from 1 species
GAUGAAGAACGCAGCGAAAUGCGAUAAGUAGUGUGAAUUGCAGAAUUCAGUGAAUCAUCGAAUCUUUGAACGCACAUUGCGCCCCUUGGUAUUCCAUGGGGCAUGCCUGUUCGAGCGUCAUUUGUACCUUCAAGCUCUGCUUGGUGUUGGGUGUUUGUCUCGCCUCUGCGUGUAGACUCGCCUCAAAACAAUUGGCAGCCGGCGUAUUGAUUUCGGAGCGCAGUACAUCUCGCGCUUUGCACUCAUAACGACGACGUCCAAAAGUACAUUUUUACACUCUUGACCUCGGAUCAGGUAGGGAUACCCGCUGAACUUAAGCAUAUCAAUAAGCGGAGA